GUGGGGAAUUUUGGACAAUGGGCGCAAGCCUGAUCCAGCAAUGCCGCGUGCAGGAAGAAGGCCUUCGGGUUGUAAACUGCUUUUGUACGGAACGAAACGGUCCUGGCUAAUAUCCGGGGCUAAUGACGGUACCGUAAGAAUAAGCACCGGCUAACUACGUGCCAGCAGCCGCGGUAAUACGUAGGGUGCGAGCGUUAAUCGGAAUUACUGGGCGUAAAGCGUGCGCAGGCGGUGCUGUAAGACAGGCGUGAAAUCCCCGGGCUCAACCUGGGAAUUGCGCUUGUGACUGCAGUGCUGGAGUGCGGCAGAGGGGGAUGGAAUUCCGCGUGUAGCAGUGAAAUGCGUAGAUAUGCGGAGGAACACCGAUGGCGAAGGCAAUCCCCUGGGCCUGCACUGACGCUCAUGCACGAAAGCGUGGGGAUCGAACAGGAUUAGAUACCCUUGUAGUCC
rnacentral:rRNA from 1 species